GUCGUGGUAAUUUUUUUCGGUUGUAUUUCUUGCUGUGGCUCAUGAUCGGGAUAAAGCCAGACCAAGACAUGCGUGUCGUGUCCUAGAAAGAGGGAAGCGUUAGGGCGGCGCUGAAAUGAAGAAAGUCGAGAAGUGACUAAGGACAGCACGAAGGACGAGGCGGGGGCGGAGGGACUAGGCUACCGGGUGAACGUAAGGAGUGGGUUGUGAUGGUGGUGGUCGCUGCCCCCUGCCCUCCGCCUCACCUGUGCUUCUGCCACGCUCCAGAAGGUUGCGCCUUCACCACUAUCACUACCACCGCCGCCGUCUCUGCCAUCACCGCCACCACCAAAGGAAGGGGUGUAGGGUCUGUAGCCGGUAUGGUCCCCUUCCCCCUAGCUUGCACCCCCACCAGCCAGUUCCUGGGGUGGUGGGGGUGAGUGUUGAGAGGGUGGGGCUCAGAGGGCGCGCAGGGCUCUCCCUACAGACUUCCUUCUGUGUGUGUGGGCGCGUGUGCGUGCGUUUGUGCUCAUCAAAGGAUUCAAAUGUACUGCUGCUGCUGUAAGGUAUGUGUCAUUAACUUACUUGUAUCAUCCUGGAUUGAGCCACAAGCUCAUAUCUUUAUGUUUCUCGGUUGUGAAUAACUUGUGGUUUUGGCACUGGGUUAUUCGUCUUUGGCGGAGCAAGGCCACCACCUCCUGGGGCGUGUGAACAAGGGCACAAAUAUAUAAUGAGAUUGCACAUUCGUCUCCACUUCAUCCGGGAAUCGAACCACGGUAUCUUUUUUUUCCUUUAGGGUGCUGCCUGUAGCGCCAGUAAGCUCUCUUGAGGGGCCUCUUGGACGGCCCCAGCCCGUUGAUGGCGCAGGCGAAUUUCAUUUAUAGUUGCUGCCGUGAUAUAUGACUUUGCUUGAGCCAUGCUGCCCCCCGGUGCUCCACGAACGAAGUCGCUGAAGUUAGGGUUGAUUGAAGAUCAGGGCCGCUUGCGGGUAAUCUUCCGCCACUCGGCGGAUUGCCGUUGCCGUUGCCGUUGCCCAGCCUUAACCACUACAC